rnacentral:rRNA from 1 species
AAUCAACGCGUGGCGGCGUGCCUAACACAUGCAAGUCGAACGAGAAAGUGACUUCGGUCACUGGAAAGUGGCGUCCGGGUGAGUAACACGUGGGUAAUCUACCCUCGGGUGGGAAUAACGGAUCGAAAGAUUCGCUAAUACCGCAUAAUGCAGCGGCACCUAAUGGUGAAUAGUUGUUAAAGCGGGGAUCGCAAGACCUCGCGCCUGAAGAGGAGCCUGCGGCAGAUAGCUAGUUGGUGAGGUAAUGGCUCACCAAGGCUUCGAUCUGUAGCUGGUCUGAGAGGACGGCCAGCCACACUGGGCACUGACACACGGGCCAGACUCCUACGGGA